rnacentral:rRNA from 1 species
UGGGGAAUCUUAGACAAUGGGGGAAACCCUGAUCUAGCCAUGCCGCGUGAGUGAUGAAGGCCUUAGGGUUGUAAAGCUCUUUUACCAGGGAUGAUAAUGACAGUACCUGGAGAAUAAGCUCCGGCUAACUCCGUGCCAGCAGCCGCGGUAAUACGGAGGAUGCAAGCGUUAUCCGGAAUCAUUGGGCGUAAAGCGUCCGCAGGUGGCUAAUCAAGUCUGCUGUUAAAGACGGAAGCUUAACUUCUGAAAAGCAGUGGAAACUGGUAAGCUAGAGUACGGUAGGGGUUGAGGGAAUUCCCAGUGUAGCGGUGAAAUGCGUAGAUAUUGGGAAGAACACCAGUGGCGAAGGCGCUCAACUGGGCCGUAACUGACACUCAGGGACGAAAGCUAGGGUAGCGAAAGGGAUUAGAUACCCGGGUAGUCC